GCCGGUUGCUAUUGGUACCGCUAGCUAGAAUGGCUGCGGGGGCCGUACGCGGCUGCUCAUACCUUUAAUCCCAGCACUUUCGGAGGUUGAGGCGGGAAGAUCUGUUGCGUCCAGCUCAAGGCCAGCCUGGACAACAUAGACCACCCCUGUCUCUACAAAAAAAUAAAAAAGAAAUAAAAAAGAAAUUAGCCGGGCGUGGUGGCGCGCUCCAGUAGUCCUAGCUACUCCCAGCUACGCCGGAGGCUGAGGCGGAGAGGUCGCUUGAGCUCGGUAGGUCGAGGCUGCAGUGAGCCAUGAUCGCGCCACUGCACUCAGCCUGGGCGACAGAGUGAGACUCUGUCUCAAAGAAGGAAAAAAAAGAAUGACGGCGGGGGUGUUCUUUUCCCCCUCUGCGGGCCUUUAAGCUUCGCGGCGUUGUGUUGCUGUUCUGCUGCGAGCUGCGGUCUAACUAAUCGAGGCGCUUAGAACCCGGAGGGAGUUCGAAAAGCCGACUGAAGGUGAGGUGGGAGGGUAGAUGAGAAGAGGCUGCGGCGGCUGCGACCACGGUCUCAAUGCCGCUGAAUUCAUCUUUGUCCUGAGGCGCGGCUCUUGGAGAGCCUUGUGGGUGACUCCGAUGCGCCGCAGCACCCGCAUUUACUCUCCGCUUGGUAGAAGCAGCUGUGUCCUCACCCCUGCGGUCACCCAAGUUACCUGUCCCCUGGAGAACGGUGGCGCCCUGCUCGAGUUUCCCAAAACUCGCCUUUUGUGACUGUGUUAGCGUGAACUUGUGAGCCGAGUUUGCACUGAGAGCGCGAUAAACAGGUCUAAUUUUUUAAAAGUAUUUUUGCUGUUAACGUUGGAUCUUGGUAUAAAUGUCCAGAGACAGACCACUGAAGAUAUUAGGCGCUGAAAAUCCCCACCUAAUCAAUCAGACCAGUGGAUAAGCUAUAUGAGGGAAACCUCUUCCCCUCCUUAAUUAAGCCUCACCAAAAAACGCGUGCUGUACCAGGAAUCAUUUACAUAUAUUUAUUUAAUACUCACAAAAGUCCCAUGAGAUAGUAACCUUUUUAUUGUCCAUUUUACAUAUCUAGGCCUAUUGUCAGAGCUAGGACCAGAGCCCAGGUAACUUAGGUCUCUUCACAAUUAAAGUUGAUUCAGGCCGAAUGCGGUGACUCACGCCUGUAAUCCAAACAUUUUGGAAGUCCGAGGUGAGCGGAUCACCUGAAGUCAGGAGUUCGAGACCAGUCUGGUCAACAUGGUGAAACCCCACCUCUACUAAAAAUACAAAAAGUAGCCAGGUGUGGUGGCUCCUGCCUGCAAUCCCAACUACUUGGGAGGCUGAAGCAGGAGAAUCGCUUGAACCUGGGAGGCAAAGGUAGCAGUGAGCUGAGAUCGGGCCACUGCACUCCAGCCUGGGCGACAAAGCGAGACUCCCUCUCAAAAAAAGUAAUAAGGCCGGGCGCGGUGGCUCACGCCUGUAAUCCCAACACUUUGGGAGGCCGAGGCGGGAGGAUCACGAGGUCAAAAGAUCGAGACCAUCUUGGCCAACAUGGUGAAACCCUGUGUCUACUAAAAAUACAAAACUUAGCUGGGCUUGGUGGCGCGUGCCUGUAGUCCCAGCUACUUGGGAGGGUGAGGCAGGAGAAUCACUUGAACCCAGGAGGUGGAGGUUGCAGUGAGCAGAGAUCACGUCACUGCACUCCAGCCUGGUGACAGAGCGAGACUCUGUCUCAAAAAAUAGUAUAAUUACUAUUAUACUUUAAUUAUUAUUAUAUUAAUUAUUAUAAUUAAUAAUAAAAUAUAUUUUAAAAUAAUAAAAUAAAAAUAACAUUCAUUCAAG
ensembl:lncRNA novel transcript, antisense to RPL30